GCCGGCGACCGGCGGACGGGUGCGUAACGCGUAUGUAACCUACCUUUGACAGGGGGAUAACAUCGAGAAAUUGGUACUAAUACCCCAUAACAUCACCGGAGGCAUCUUCGGUGGUUGAAAACUCAGGUGGUCAGAGAUGGACAUGCGUUGUAUUAGCUAGUUGGUGAGGUAACGGCUCACCAAGGCGACGAUACAUAGGGGGACUGAGAGGUCAACCCCCCCACAUUGGUACUGAGACACGGACCAAACUCCUACGGAAGGCAGCAG
rnacentral:rRNA from 1 species